GGCCCGAUGGUCAAGAGGUUAAGACACCGCCCUUUCACGGCGGAAUCACGGGUUCGAUCCCCGUUCGGGUCACCA
rnacentral:tRNA from 1 species